CCUACGGGAGGCAGCAGUAGGGAAUUUUCGUCAAUGGGCGCAAGCCUGAACGAGCAAUGCCACGUGAACGAGGAAGGUCUUCGGAUCGUAAAGCUCUGUUGAAGGGGAAAAAGAGCGGAGAGAGGAAAUGGUCUCCGAUUGAUAUUACCCUUCGAGGAAGUCACGGCUAACUACGUGCCAGCAGCCGCGGUAAUACGUAGGUGGCGAGCGUUAUUCGGAAUGGUUGGGCGUAAAGGGUGCGUAGGCGGCCUGCAAAGUCUGGAGUGAAAGGUACCGGCUCAACCGGUACAGGCUCUGGAAAAUGGCGGGCUAGAGAGCAGGAGAGGUCGGUGGAACGCCAGGUGUAGCGGUGAAAUGCGUAGAUAUAGGGAAGAACACCAGUGGCGAAGGCGGCCGCCUGGCCUGUUACUGACGCUGAGGCACGAAAGCGUGGGGAGCAAAUAGGAUUAGAUACCCUGGUAGUC
rnacentral:rRNA from 1 species